GCGGCCGCCGCUCUGUAGGGCGGCAAACGGAGCGAUCGCCUCCCCCACCUCUCCCACACAGUCAGCGACAGCGGGCCGAGUCGGGGAGGUUAAAAGGGUCACAAGGGAGACGGACGUCCACGUGAGGUUGAACCUCGACGGGACUGGAAUCGCUGACUGUGACACCGGGAUCCCGUUUCUGGAUCAUAUGCUGGAUCAAUUGUCA
rnacentral:misc_RNA from 1 species